GACAGAGGGUGCUAGCGUUGUUCGGAAUUACUGGGCGUAAAGGGCGCGUAGGCGGCUUGUUUAGUCGGGUGUGAAAUCCCGGGGCUCAACCCCGGAACUGCAUUCGAUACUGGCAGGCUAGAGACCGGAAGAGGUGGGUGGAAUACCCAGUGUAGAGGUGAAAUUCGUAGAUAUCGGGAGGAACACCGGUGGCGAAGGCGGCGACCUGGGUAGAUACUGACGCUGAGGUGCGAAAGCGUGGGGAGCAAACAGG
rnacentral:rRNA from 1 species